AAAUGCAGUGAAAGAGCACUUCCAGCUUUAACCAAUUACCCAUGAAGUAACUUUACAGCCUGGUGUCAGGAAUGUCACAAAGUUAUGGCAGGAGUGGAAAGUAUGCGGAUUUAAACAAACGAUUUUAAUCAGGCUGCAUUCAGCUGCCUGUCACGGCUGAUUUAUUGCUCGGCAAGUAUUAAUGCUGUGUGAGGUUAGAGGUCGCUGGCAGCAGAAGAAAGGGAUUGUGGGAGCACAGGGGAACGUGGGUAGAGAUGUUUUCGGCCACACAGGAGGCCUGGACCCUGCGAGCAUGUCUUUCCAGCCCCACUUUGUAAUGAGGGAGAAAGCAUGGGCCCUUGUGGGAGUACGUCUGAACUUCACUUCUUGGAAGAAGUUCUUUCAAGACUUGAAGAAGCAAUGAUUUACCUUGCAGUGCCUUCUGCUGUGGGUACGGUCUGUAGCUGGUUGUCUGAAUGAUGGAAUGAACAAGGGUGAAUUGCAGGCCUUGUCUUCUGUCCCUAAGCAGCCAUCCCUUCACUGCAGUGCUUCUGCUUAGAGAGCUAUGGAUACAGCGGCAAGAAAGGUGAUAUUUUGGCUCUGAUCAACACAUUUUUCUAAGUGGAAACUUGUCUCUCUUUUUUCCUUAAACAGCAUUUUAAAAUAUGCUUUAAUUAAUUCAGUUGCAGGGAUAUGAGUCCUGCCGUAACUGUUGCUUUGGCUGUGCUAUCAUGUUCCAGGAUAUAUGUUCAAAUAUAACCAUCCGUGCUUAUUGCAUGUGUGGUUCAUAGUGUUUCCUUGCACCGGUCAUGUGAAAUGUAAGUGGUUACAGGUAAUGCAAAACCGGGCAUGAUGUGGACUAGCAGCAGCUCACACUCAAUUCCCUCUCUCCCUCUCUCUCUUUAUCUCUCUGUCUCGCUCCACUCUACUCUGUAAAUGCGAAUGCCUGUUUUACAACUCGACUGACAGGCGCAUUGUUGAGGCCGAGCCCCGGCGCUGACAGGGAGAAUCAAUCUUUUUAACCUGUCAAUUAAUCAGGGGGCGCUGUCAGCCCGUAGGAGUGCUGAAGGACAGUGCCCUUUGUACGGAUUAGCCCACAGGAGUCAAGGGAGGCCUUUUCACUGGCAGGCUUCAGCGCUGCAAGGAGAAAUUCAUUUACAAUGCUCUUUCGCAUAUAAAAAAGUACCACAACCCUCUCACAGUGUACUGUGGUAGACGGGAAGCAGUUGAACAUAAAUCCCCAAAAACGUAACAUAGUAAUAAUCAGAGGCUUUGACUCCAAAAAUAAAGAUUAACUGUCAUCUUCCUGAG
rnacentral:lncRNA from 1 species